rnacentral:rRNA from 1 species
GACGAACGCUGGCGGCGUGCCUAAUACAUGCAAGUAGAACGCAGUUGCGAACGGGUGAGUAACGCGUAGGUAACUGCCUGGUAGCGGGGGAUAACUAUUGGAAACGAUAGCUAAUACCGCAUACUACCAGCUGGACCUGCGUUGUAUGAGCUAGUUGGUGAGGUAACGGGUCACCAAGGCAACGAUACAUCGCCGACCUGGGAGGUGGAUCGGCCACACGGGGACUUGGACACGGCACAGACUCCUACGGGAGGCAGCAGUAGGGAAACUUCGGCAAUGGGGGGAACCCUGACCGAGCAACGCCGCGUUGGUGAAAGAGGUUUUCGGAUCGUAAAGCUCUGUUGUUAAGGAAGCGGUACUUAACCAGAAAGGGACGGCUAACUACGUGCCAGCAGCCGCGGUAAUAC